rnacentral:tRNA from 1 species
AAGGGAGACCUAAUUCAGGUAUGGGACGAAAAAAAAGUAGUCCCUACCAAGAAUCAAUCCCAAAAGGUCGGAACGAGGUAUGAGGCUUUCAAACUAGGUUCUGGGUUCAUAAAAGACCUGAAUCAGGAACAAGGGCUAUUAGCUCAGGUGGUUAGAGCGCACCCCUGAUAAGGGUGAGGUCCCUGGUUCGAGUCCAGGAUGGCCCACCUGCACAGGUGGCAAAAACAAGAGAAGCGAGGAAUCAGCACCUUAUCUUAUCUAUAUAUAAGAGAGAAUGCUGGCUCUGAGUAAAGAGUCCAGAGGAACCUUGAAAACUGCAUAGAGCUAGGUGAAAAAGCCAAAAAAGAAGACCGCAA